CAUUUUCGUUUUUUCUCCCUCCGCGGGGCCCACGGCGUCGUGGUUCAAACGCCUUCGGCAUUUGGCGGCGGCGUCGGGCUCGGAACGAGCUUUUCGACAAGUGCUCACGGGCCCCGUGAGUCCCUUCGGGAACGAAAGUUAUUGAGAAAUUAUGAUUUUCGUAUUUCGCAGUACGUAAGUAGUGUUCUUUCGAUUGCUCGGGCAUUGGGAGACGGGCCCUUCAAAAGGCAGGUCGAACACCGGAGACGUUAUCUCGAGAAGAGACUUCAAGUAAAUUUGAAAGGCACAAGAUGAC
rnacentral:misc_RNA from 1 species